UACAGAGGUCUCAAGCGUUGUUCGGAUUCAUUGGGCGUAAAGGGCGCGUAGGCGGCGGGGUCAGUCGGGUGUGAAAUCUUGGGGCUUAACCCCGAAACGGCACUCGAAACUGCCCGGCUGGAGGGCCGGAGAGGAGAUCGGAAUUCACGGUGUAGCAGUGAAAUGCGUAGAGAUCGUAAGGAAGACCAGUGGCGAAGGCGGGUCUCUGGACAGUUCCUGACGCUGAGGCACGAAGGCCAGGGGAGCAAACGGG
rnacentral:rRNA from 1 species